AGGCGGGUAAGUUAAUUAAUAAACUAUGGGGUUCAUGUCCCCACAAUAUGUUUGUCAUCCUGCUGA
rnacentral:tRNA from 2 species